rnacentral:rRNA from 1 species
AUUGAACGCUGGCGGCAUGCUUUACACAUGCAAGUCGAACGGCAGCGCGGGCUUCGGCCUGGCGGCGAGUGGCGAACGGGUGAGUAAUGCAUCGGAACGUGCCCAGUAGUGGGGGAUAGCCCGGCGAAAGCCGGAUUAAUACCGCAUACGACCUGAGGGUGAAAGCGGGGGACCGAAAGGCCUCGCGCUAUUGGAGCGGCCGAUGUCGGAUUAGCUAGUUGGUGGGGUAAAGGCUUACCAAGGCGACGAUCCGUAGCUGGUCUGAGAGGACGACCAGCCACACUGGGACUGAGACACGGCCCAGACUCCUACGGGAGGCAGCAGUGGGGAAUUUUGGACAGUGGGGGCAACCCUGAUCCAGCCAUGCCGCGUGCGGGAAGAAGGCCUUCGGGUUGUAAACCGCUUUUGUUCGGGAAGAAAUCCUCUGGGCUAAUACCCCGGGGGGAUGACGGUACCGGAAGAAUAAGCACCGGCUAACUACGUG